rnacentral:rRNA from 1 species
UACGAGGGGGGCAAGCGUUGUUCGGAAUUAUUGGGCGUAAAGGGCGCGUAGGCGGUCGUGACAAGUCACUUGUGAAAUCUCCGGGCUUAACUCGGAACGGUCAAGUGAUACUGUCGGACUAGAGUACAGAAGGGGCAACUGGAAUUCUCGGUGUAGCGGUGAAAUGCGUAGAUAUCGAGAGGAACACCUGCGGCGAAGGCGGGUUGCUGGGCUGAUACUGACGCUGAGGCGCGAAAGCUAGGGGAGCAAACAGG